GUGGGGAAUAUUGGGCAAUGGGCGAAAGCCUGACCCAGCAACGCCGCGUGAAGGAAGAAGGUCUUCGGAUCGUAAACUUCUAUCCUUGGUGAAGAUAAUGACGGUAGCCGAGAAGGAAGCCCCGGCUAACUACGUGCCAGCAGCCGCGGUAAUACGUAGGGGGCAAGCGUUGUCCGGAAUGAUUGGGCGUAAAGGGCGCGUAGGCGGCCUGGUAAGUCUGGAGUGAAAGUCCUGCUUUUAAGGUGGGAAUUGCUUUGGAUACUGUCGGGCUUGAGUGCAGGAGAGGUAAGGGGAAUUCCCGGUGUAGCGGUGAAAUGCGUAGAGAUCGGGAGGAACACCAGUGGCGAAGGCGACUUACUGGACUGUAACUGACGCUGAGGCGCGAAAGUGUGGGGAGCAAACAGGAUUAGAAACCCGUGUAGUCC
rnacentral:rRNA from 1 species